rnacentral:rRNA from 1 species
AGAGUUUGAUCCUGGCUCAGAACGAACGCUGGCGGCGUGGAUUAGGCAUGCAAGUCGAACGGUAUUUUUCAAAUGGAUCCUUCGGGUGAAGUUUGUUUAAGAGAGUGGCGAACGGGUGAGUAACACGUGGGCAACCUGCCCCUAAGUUUGGGAUAGCCCGCCGAAAGGCGGGGUAAUACCGGAUGUGGUCGCUCCGCGAUUGCGGAGUUGUCUAAAAGUGGGGAUUCUUCGGAACCUAUUGCUUAGGGAUGGGCCCGCGGCCUAUCAGCUUGUUGGUGAGGUAACGGCUCACCAAGGCCGAGACGGGUAGCUGGUCUGAGAGGAUGGUCAGCCACACUGGGACUGAGACACUGCCCAGACUCCUACGGGAGGCUGCAGUCGAGAAUCAUUCACAAUGCGCGAAAGCGUGAUGAUGCGACGCCACGUGGAGGAUGACGGCCUUCGGGUUGUAAACUCCUGUCAUGAGGGAACAAGGAUGCCGGGGUUAACACCCCCGCUAUUUGAUGGUACCUCAAGAGGAAGCCACGGCUAACUCUGUGCCAGCAGCCGCGGUAAUACAGAGGUGGCGAGCGUUGUUCGGAUUUACUGGGCGUAAAGGGUGCGUAGGCGGUUUUGUGUGUCAGAUGUGAAAUCUCACCGUCCAACGGUGAAACUGCAUUUGAAACUGCAGGACUAGAGUACAGGAGGGGAGAGCGGAAUUCUCGGUGUAGCGGUGAAAUGCGUAGAUAUCGAGAAGAACGCCGGUGGCGAAGGCGGCUCUCUGGACUGAUACUGACGCUGAGGCACGAAAGUUGGGGAGCGAACAGGAUUAGAUACCCUGGUAGUCCCAACCGUAAACAGUGUGCACUUGGUGUGGGUGGGUUUGUCCCCAUCCGUGCCGGAGCUAACGCGUUAAGUGCACCGCCUGGGGAGUACGGUCGCAAGACUAAAACUCAAAGGAAUUGACGGGGGCCCGCACAAGCGGUGGAGCAUGUGGCUUAAUUCGAUGCAACGCGAAGAACCUUACCUGGGCUUGACAUGUAACUGCACGCCCCGUGAAAGCGGGGAAGCCUUCGAGGGUGUUACACAGGUGCUGCAUGGCUGUCGUCAGCUCGUGCCGUGAGGUGUUGGGUUAAGUCCCGCAACGAGCGCAACCCCUGUGGUUAGUUGCCACUUCAGCCGAAAGGCUGGAAGCACUCUAACCAGACUGCCUGUGACAAGCAGGAGGAAGGUGGGGAUGACGUCAAGUCAGUAUGGUCCUUAUGUCCAGGGCUGCACACGUGCUACAAUGGGCGGUACAGAACGACGCGAAACCGCGAGGUGGAGCAAAUCGUCAAAGCCGUCCUCAGUUCGGAUUGGAGUCUGCAACUCGACUCCAUGAAGCCGGAAUCGCUAGUAAAGGCGUAUCAGCUACGACGCCUUGAAUACGUUCCCGGGCCUUGUACACACCGCCCGUCACAUCACGAAAGUCGACUGCACCCGAAGUCGCCGGGCCAAUCCAUUUCGGUGGAAGGCAGGUGCCGAAGGUGUGGUUGAUGAUUGGGAUGAAGUCGUAACAAGGUA